rnacentral:tRNA from 3 species
GCGGUAGUGGCGAAGUGGUUAACGCACCGGAUUGUGGCUCCGGCACGCGUGGGUUCGAUUCCCACCUACCGCCCUA